rnacentral:rRNA from 1 species
UACAGAGGUCCCGAGCGUUGCGUCGAUUUAUUGGGCGUAAAGGGUGCGUAGGCGGCGGAGUAAGUUGGGGUGUGAAAUCCCGGGGCUUAACCUCGGGAAUUGCAUUCAAUACUGCUUCGCUUGAGUACUGGAGAGGAGGCUGGAAUUUACGGUGUAGCAGUGAAAUGCGUAGAUAUCGUAAGGAAGGCCGGUGGCGAAAGCGAGCCUCUGGACAGUUACUGACGCUGAUGCACGAAGGGCCAGGGGAGCAAACGGG